AGCCAUCCUUUAAAGAAAGCGUAACAGCUCACUAGUCUAGUUUUUCUAGGUCGAAAAUGUAGAGGGACUAAAAUUAUUUACCGAAACGAUAGUGUUAAUUUUUAAGAGGUAGCAGAACGUUCUGUAAAUCUAAGAAGAUUUAUGUUGACAUAAAUUGGAGAAAUCAGAAGUGAAAAUAUUGAUAUGAGUAGCGAUAAACAGUGUGAAAAACAUUGUCAUCUUAAAUUCAAGGUUUCCAAAGAAAGGUUAAUCCGCUUUGGGUUAUUCGGUCCCUAAGACUACGACGAAAGUCUAAAGUUGAUGGGUUAAUAAUAAAAUUUAUGGUUAAUGUUUAUUUUAGGCACUUCGUGACAAAGAUUGAAAAAAAUUUAGAUUAAACGGUAAGAAUUUAAGUUUUUAAAAUUUUUCGAGAAAUAGCGAGUUUGUCAAAUAGGCUGUUGUAUGAUUAUAAAUGACCGUACUGUAAACCGACACAGGUGAAUGCGUUUAGAAAACUAAGAUGUUUAAGAUAAUUAUGUUGAAGGAACUCGGCAAAAUGACUCCGUAACUUAGGGAGAAGGAGUAGCUUU
rnacentral:rRNA from 1 species